ACGCAAACGCUGCUAAUUUUUAAUUAGUAGAGGAAAGUCCACGCUCACACGAAUCUGUAAUGAUCGUAGUGUUUGUGCGAAGGGAAUAAAUAACCUUCGGCAGGUAAGAGCCUGACGGCGCCUUAAGUUACCUAAAGCUUUGCCAUGGUAACGGGCAUAAAGUGCCACAGAAACGAUUUUUUUGGAAACGAAAAAGUGGAACGGGUAAACCCCACAAGUGAGAAACCCAAAAUUUGGUAGGGGAAUCCUUAUGAAGGAAUAAAAACGGAUUAAGGGAUGCAAAUUUUUGCAUAGAUAAAUGUUUGCGACCAAUUUUAUUGGUACAGAACGUGGCUUAUU
rnacentral:RNase_P_RNA from 1 species